rnacentral:tRNA from 1 species
ACCUGGGUGGCUCAGUCGGUCAAGCGUCUGACUUCAGCUCAGGUCGUGAUCUCACAGUUCGUGAGUUCAAGCCCCGCCUUGGGCU